GUGCAUGUGUGCCUCUGUCUCUGCACUUGUCGGAAGAGACAGAGCAUUGCAAGCCGUAUCAAUGCUCCAAAUUCUCGAAAAGUAUUGGAGCGUGAGGAACAGUUACCUGUGGUGUCUGCCCCUGCUGUUGGUGCAGACCUCAGGCACCCACAUGCUUAACACAGGUUUUCCGGGCUGGCUGGAGAGAACCUUUUAUAUCCCCAAUUGGCACAUUUGAGGCUAGCAGCCUUGCAUGCUAUGUAAAUGCACCCCGCAUGCCAUAGG